rnacentral:rRNA from 1 species
CACGUAGGGUGCGAGCGUUGUCCGGAUUUAUUGGGCGUAAAGGGCCCGUAGGCGGUUUGGUAAGUCGGGUGUGAAAACUCUGGGCUCAACCCAGAGACGCCACCCGAUACUGCUAUGACUUGAGUCUGGUAGGGGAGUGCGGAAUUCCUGGUGUAGCGGUGAAAUGCGCAGAUAUCAGGAGGAACACCGGUGGCGAAGGCGGCACUCUGGGCCAGUACUGACGCUGAUGGGCGAAAGCGUGGGGAGCAAACAGG